rnacentral:tRNA from 1 species
UUCUUGGUGGUCUAGUGGUUAAGGAUUCAGUGUUGUCACUACCAUGACUCAGGUUCGAUCCCUGACCUAGGAA